UACGGAGGGUGCAAGCGUUGUUCGGAAUUACUGGGCGUAAAGAGCGUGUAGGCGGCUGAUCCAGUCGGGUGUGAAAGCCCGGGGCUUACCCCCGGAAGUGCGCUCGAAACUGGUCAGCUAGAGUAUGGGAGAGGGAAGUGGAAUUCCUGGUGUAGCGGUGAAAUGCGUAGAUAUCAGGAGGAACACCGGCGGCGAAGGCGGCUUCCUGGACCAAUACUGACGCUGAGACGCGAAAGCGUGGGGAGCAAACAGG
rnacentral:rRNA from 1 species